UACGGGGGGGGCAAGCGUUGUUCGGAAUUACUGGGCGUAAAGGGCUCGUAGGCGGCCAACUAAGUCGGAUGUGAAAUCCCCAAGCUUAACUUGGGAACUGCAUCCGAUACUGGAUGGCUUGAAUCCGGGAGAGGGAUGCAGAAUUCCAGGUGUAGCGGUGAAAUGCGUAGAUAUCUGGAGGAACACCAAUUGCGAAGGCAGCUCGCUGGGACGUUACUGACGCUGAGACGCGAAAGCGUGGGGAGCAAACAGG
rnacentral:rRNA from 1 species